rnacentral:rRNA from 1 species
GACGAACGCUGGCGGCGUGCUUAACACAUGCAAGUCGAACGGAAAGGCCCUGCUUUUGUGGGGUGCUCGAGUGGCGAACGGGUGAGUAACACGUGAGUAACCUGCCCUUGACUUUGGGAUAACUUCAGGAAACUGGGGCUAAUACCGGAUAGGAGCUCCUGCUGCAUGGUGGGGGUUGGAAAGUUUCGGCGGUUGGGGAUGGACUCGCGGCUUAUCAGCUUGUUGGUGGGGUAGUGGCUUACCAAGGCUUUGACGGGUAGCCGGCCUGAGAGGGUGACCGGCCACAUUGGGACUGAGAUACGGCCCAGACUCCUACGGGAGGCAGCAGUGGGGAAUAUUGCACAAUGGGAGGAAGCCUGAUGCAGCAACGCCGCGUGCGGGAUGACGGCCUUCGGGUUGUAAACCGCUUUCGCCUGUGACAAAGCGUGAGUGACGGUAAUGGGUAAAGAAGCACCGGCUAACUACGUG